GAGGGCAUAGCUCAGUGGUAGAAUGAGUGCUUAGCAUACACAAGGUCCUGGGUUCAAUCCCCAGUACUUCCA
rnacentral:tRNA from 1 species